GAACCAUCAGAACGACUCUCAACCUGCAUGAUUAAGAUGCAUAUCAGACAGGUUUCUGCUCUGACUGAGAUCACCCAGCGGUGGAACAAGGCAAAGUCGAGUGAAAACCCCGAGAUCCCUGCCAUCCUGACCAAAGACUCCGCGGCAACAAACUGUCCAGCUGUGUGUAUGCUCACGUCACUCCGUCAGGCACUGCUCUUGAAGAAAGUUUACGUUCUUGUUGUCUGAUUUGUCCAACAAACGACGACGAAACGGACGUUUUCCUACCACACCCAAUGUGCCGCUUCACUCUGCUACUGAAGGAUCAGGCUGACUGCAACUGCUAUGGAUGGCAGGAAAACACAGUACACGUGAAUUUCUAGAUGAAGAGUGAAUAAAUGCACUUGCUUAACUGAUAA